AUAAAUCUGCCACCGGGCAGGAAUGCAAAAAGCAUUCGUUUACACACCGUUAGGUCUUAGAAGGUGUGUAAUCGGAUGCUUGUUUUUU
rnacentral:ncRNA from 1 species